UGUCAACGACAGGGGCGCCGUAUGGCUGAGAUGUGCGGAUGCACGGUCCCUUAGACCUGAUCUAGAUAAUGCUAGCGUAGGGAGUCUGUAUUUCAAAAUU
rnacentral:ncRNA from 2 species